UGGCUAACUCCUACGGGAGGCAGCAGUGGGGAAUUUUGGACAAUGGGGGCAACCCUGAUCCAGCAAUGCCGAGUGAGUGAAGAAGGCCUUCGGGUUGUAAAGCUCUUUUGUCAGGGAAGAAACGGUAGUAGCUAAUAUCUAUUACUAAUGACGGUACCUGAAGAAUAGGCACCGGCCAACUACGUGCCAGCAGCCGCGGUAAUACGUAGGGUGCAAGCGUUAAUCGGAAUUACUGGGCGUAAAGCGUGCGCAGGCGGUUGUGUAAGUCAGAUGUGAAAUCCCCGGGCUCAACCUGGGAAUUGCAUUCGAGACUGCACGGCUAGAGUGUGUCAGAGGGGGGUAGAAUUCCACGUGUGGCAGUAAAAUGCGUAGAUAUGUGGAGGAAUACCGGUGGCGAAGGCAGCCCCCCGGGAUAACACUGACGCUCAUGCACGAAAGCGUGGGGAGCAAACAGGAUUAGAAACCCCUGUAGUCCAGCUGG
rnacentral:rRNA from 1 species